CCCAGAUUUUUUGACUUGUCUGGAUGCCCUUCCAAACCCCAGGCUUCCCCGGGGAGACCUGCGGUGCAAGAUCGGAGCGAAGACGCAGCCAGGCGUAAUCCUUGCGACACUGCCUGCGAUGAUCUACAUCCCAUUCCGGGUUCAACGACGGGUCGUUGAGGACAAGUUGGACUCCCACGAGAACCUUUUCGGUGCGAAGGCAAUCGGUAAAAAGAAGUCGUGGGACCCUCAAAUCGCUUGCUUGAAUGCUUGGCAGGAUGGAAAGCUGCGCCCUUUCCAGGGAGAUCAAAGAGACGCCCCAGCCUGGGAAAGAAGCGGCUGGGAAUCCUAAGGACUUGAAGCGCAAGAAUACUCAAGAAGGACUAGCGGCUUGCAAAGUCCUCUAAAGAGAACGGAAUCCAGAGGAACAGCAGAAGCCGCUAGAUUGCCCGGCCCGCUAUAAUUUGUAAUCUCUGAUCUCCUGAGGGCUUUUUUUGGUGGGGGGACCGGUGGGUAUGUGCGUGAGUUUACAAUGCCGAGAUCGACGAAACCUUCCGCCGAUUGGCUUUUCGCUCGGAUUCCCGAACCCACGAGGUGUUGGUGGAGUUUGAAGAGGGAAGGGGUUGCGCUCUCCAAGACCUUCGGAACGCGCGCCGGGGCUGAGAACGCCGAUCCUUUGGGAGGCUGAUGGUGGAUUCCUGGAUCGGGUCCCCCCCCCACGCCCACCCUUUCUGCGCAAGAUAUCAGCUCCCGGGUGGCCGGGCUCCUCCCCCUCCGAAUAACUUUCGCUUUCACACGCCAAUGCAAGCAAACUCCUGGGCCUUUUUACUGUAUUCUUUUUCCCUUUCGCCCGAUGUAACUCACGUGUCGGCGUAGCUGGCAACUCUACUGCAGCAGCACCUCCGCCGGCUAGGAAGAGGGAGGGGUCGGCACCGAACAACGUACCCUCCCGACCCCAAACAGCUACUGCCAUCCAGGGACUCGGCGCGCUUCCUGUACCUGCCCGCCUCGCAUCUCUACAGAACCUCUUCCCCUCUUUUUUAGGGGGAAACCUCAGCAUGCUGGCCACCUACCAAACUACGUGGAGAUGAUUUGGUAUCAUGGAACUCCAGAUUCUUCUGUGGUCUUGCUGCUCGUAUUGCUGUUUUUCUUCCCAUUUGGGCCACUCAAGGGCUGCAAGUUUGAUUAUUCUCCCAUCGCUACUUCUGACUUUUCCCAGGAUAUAAAACCACUGAAAGAAUAUUUGCUCCUGGAUUACAAAGUACCAAUGCCAUUCAGUCUGAAACAGGACAUAUUCUGCAGUGAGUUAUGGAAUCUUCAUUUCAUCAAUGAAAACUUAAAGAAAUUAAUCAACGUGUCUGGGGAAAGACUGAAAAAGUUAAUCAAGAAGAUAUAUAAUCACACAAAAGUUGUUGAAUCUUGUAAUAUUGAAGUAGAUAAUAGUUCUGUCAGCUUUGUGUUGACAAAUAUCUCUCAGUUUGUAGAUGUCAUUCCUUUCCACCUUCAGUCUUUAUCAGCAAAAAUAGAGAAGAUUACAUCAGAAGAAAAGUGUGCUGAUUUUAAGAACUGCACCGUUAUUCAAAGCCAAAUAGGUCAGUCUCUCUCUAUACUACAGAAUCUUCUAAAUUACCUAUCAACACUUCUGAUUGGAAGCUAGAGAAGAAACAGUCAUCUCAGCCAGUCUCCCACAAAAGAACUUAUUGGUGGUUACUUCUUCCAGCUAUCUUGGUCUGUCUUAUCUUCAGUUUAUCGAAAAAAUGCCAGUGGUCCUCUUCAAGUGCAAUUUAAAAGUACCACCUCCCCACAGCAUGGGAUCUAACCUCAACAUCACUCAACAUCUUAGAGCCUGCUCUAUCCCAUUCCUAGCCUUUAUCUUGAAGGACUAACCUGGCACCAUCUGUCAGAGGGGCCGCUGCCAAAAAGGACCUCAGUUCUGACUCCCACCCCUUGGUAGAUGCUUGCAUCUUUCUUUUUUGUAAUGUAUAGAUGGUCCUCAAUUUACGACUGCAGUUGGGACCAGAAUUUCUGUUACUAAGGAAGAUGGAUGUUAAGUGAAUUGUGCCUGAUUUUCCUUUUUUUUUUUUUUGCCCUGGUUGUUAAGCAAAUUACUGCAGUUCUUAAGUGAGUCAUGCAGUUGUUAAUCAAAUCCAGCUUCCCCCAUUAACUUGCACAUCAAAAGCCAGCUGGAAAGAUUACCAAUGGUGACUACAUUCUGCACCCAUCUUAAAUACAUAUUUGUUGCCAAGCACCUAAAUCUUGAUCUCAUGACCAUGGGGAUGCUGCGAUGGACUUAAGUGCAAGAAUUGGUUGUAAGACUUUCAGUGCUGUUGUAACUUUGAACGGUUGUUAAACGAAUAGUUUUAAUUUGUGCUUAUGCAUAUGUGCUGUAUGUGCUUAUGUAAAAAGGAGAGACAGAGAGAUGGUUAAUACAUAAGUUUUUUUAUUUUGUAUAAAUAAAAGCAAAUAUUUAGUAACCA